GUACACGCUGUGACUAGCAUAUCAAUAAGCGGAGGAAAAGAAACUAACAAGGAUUCCCUCAGUAACGGCGAGUGAAGCGGGAAGAGCUCAAAUUUGAAAUCUUGAAAGGUCACCUUUCACGAAUUGUAGUUUAAAGAAGUGUUUUCUGUUACGAUCGUAAUAUAAGUUCUUUGGAAUAGGACAUCACAGAGGGUGAGAAUCCCGUCUAUGAUUGCGAUUUGUAGCUUUGUGAUACACUUUCAAAGAGUCGGGUUGUUUGGGAAUGCAGCCCAAAACGGGAGGUAAAUUUCUUCUAAGGCUAAAUAUUGGCGAGAGACCGGUAGCGAACAAGUACCGUGAGGGAAAGAUGAAAAGAACUUUGAAAAGAGAGUUAAAUAGUACGUGAAAUUGUCAAAAGGGAAGCGUUUGACACCAGUGUUGUUUUUCUGAAAAUCAAUUAAAGAACUGGUUAUGCUAAGUUGUUUAGACUUUAUCAGCUAACUGUUUAGUUUUGAGCUUUUCUUUAAUGCACUUUUCAGUUAACAAGUCAACAUCAAUUUCUUUUGCUGUAAAAAAGCUUGAGGAAGGUGGCUUGAGAUUCGUCUUAAGUGUUUAUAGCCUCUUGCCUAUGCAGUCGGAGAGAUUGAGGUCUGCAGCGUAGAUCCUUCGGGGCUAAAUGCAUUUGUGCUAAGUUAUAGCAUUUUAUAGACAACUUGUUGACUAUGAUUAGUCUUGUAGCUUACUCGCUUAUGCUAUUUUACCUACGCUUAGGAUGUUGAGCGCAUGUCUCCUCU
rnacentral:rRNA from 1 species